GGCCGCCUGGCGAAAUGGCAUCGCGUCUGACUACGAUUGGAUCUUACCAAGGUAUCAGGAGAUUGCAGGUUCGACCCCUGCGGUGGUCA